rnacentral:rRNA from 1 species
UACGAAGGGUGCAAGCGUUACUCGGAAUUACUGGGCGUAAAGCGUGCGUAGGUGGUUUGUUAAGUCUGUUGUGAAAGCCCCGGGCUCAACCUGGGAAUGGCAAUGGAUACUGGCAAGCUAGAGUGCGGUAGAGGGUAGUGGAAUUCCCGGUGUAGCGGUGAAAUGCGUAGAGAUCGGGAGGAACACCAGUGGCGAAGGCGGUUACCUGGACCAGCACUGACACUGAGGCACGAAAGCGUGGGGAGCAAACAGG